rnacentral:lncRNA from 1 species
CAUUGGUAAAUGUAUUGCAAAUGCUUUGUGAAAAACAUGUGAUCAAAACAUAAGAAUAAUGUAAAAUUACAUAAAACUUUUACAAAUUUUCAAAAUUAACAUAUAAAGGUUGAAAUGUAUGUCUUUGUGAUACUCGCACAUCAAGUAUCCCAUUCCAGAAUCCUGACAAUCAUUUGAUGAAAAUUUGCAACAGUGGGGAGGUUAAUUCUGGAUCAACUUCCCACAGAGCAUAAUUCUUUUAUAGGGAUCUAAUGAUGAUCAUUCUUGAUUAGAUUCUUAUCAAGAUUUUAUUUAUAAGUAACCCACUGUUUCAAACUUUCCACUAAUUGCUCCUCAGAAUAAAGAUUCCUAUGCAGUUAAAGAUCAGGUUACAUGGUAUGUUUCAUAUUAAAUGAUUUUCUUAAGAAUUUGUGGUAAACUGUUUCGUCCCAAAACAUAAAUAUAAAAUUUAACUAACCCUCACAAUUAAAAGGACAAAAACAGUCAACCAGUACAAAAAUU